UUAAAAUCCCACUGGAAAAUCAAAACAGGAGAGAAAAAGGAGAGAGAGACUUCCCCCAUACAUGAAAAAGAAAAGAAAAAGGCAACGUUUUAUAGCUACUUCACAUAAAUUCCCUUUCCUGAACCACAAGGGGAAAAUAUAAAAACAAAUUUCACAUGCUUUUAUUAUUCCCAUUACCUUUCCCACUGUUCUCUACCAAACCAUGCCUACUACUAGAUAUUGGUGGAAAGACUGUAUUAAAAGUCCUGUAGUUAACCAAAUGAACACUCUGGAUACAAACUUGGAAAUGGAAUAAAAUGAAGAUGGGAUUUCACUAUUGAUGUGAAAGACAAGGCACAGAAGAGGAAAAUGUACUGGGUGUUAAAGUGACUCUGGAAAGGGCUACAUCCUGAAACAAAGAGUAAGCUAUCGGACUAACCAAAGGAUCCUAAGAACAAAAGACACUAAGAAUUUAGAUAUCCUAAAGAUGAGUAAAGAAUUUAAGAACCAAGGUAAAUUCAAAAAUUAAACUGCAAUAGUUUUCCUGAUACAUGCAUAACAGAUUCUUAUAAUGCAUAAGAGAUUCUUAUAUUUUCCACAUAUUAAUUUAAGAGUUCCUAUAUUACUAAAAUGCCCUCUCCAAUUAAGUUAUAAUUUUCUAAGGAAAGGGUCCUGUAUUGCUAUUCUCUUUUCCCUCUUUUCAAAAACAAAAACCCUACCACAAUAACCUCCAUACAGGAGGAGUCUUACGGACAGAGUACAAAUAUGUAGCUCACAUAAAAUUGCUGCAUUCCAGUAAUCAACUGUGGUCCUAACGUAAUCCACAGAUUUAAACAGAUAAAGAUGAGACCCUUUCCACUGAGGUGAGAACUCUAAACCAUCAUAACAAAUAAAUGCCACCAUCUUUGAGCAGCAGUAACUACAAUACCUUGUAAUGAUGAUAAUUCUUCUGGAAUUAACCGCUCAGGUCAAGCACUGACCGUUAGGGAAUCUUAUAUUCCAUCCUGGACAAAUUUUCUUUCAUCAUUUCAGAACUGACAUUAGUUCUGAAAACUUUUAUCACAAGGAUGAUGCUUAACUGGAAAUUAAAGUUUUCCCACAAAACUAGCACAAUGGGAACUUAAAUAUCAGUUCUUGAGCCUCAAUCUCAUUUAACUCAUGAUACGUACGAGGGAUUUACCACGUAAAGGAUCUUUUGACAGUGCAUUUGAAAACGGGGUAGGGAGGCACAAAGCCCCUUUGAGAAAAGGGUUGGGGGGGUGGAGGGAGGCAGGGAGGCAGACACGCCAUCAUGACUCGGACAUAUCCUGCAGAAGACCCCACACGUUCAGACUGAGACUUAGCCACUAUCUGCAGAUUAAAAGCCUACAUUCUGAACUUUAAAAUCUCUGGCACAUUCCUGUUUUCAAGCCAAGAUCUGCUUGCUUGUCUUUUUUUUUAAUCUUGAAAAACCUGAUAAUUAGCAAGUUAUAAAAGCUAAGCAUUUCUUAUUUUAAACAUUAUACAUAUAGAGCUAAACUGUGGUGCCUUAUCAAGCAAAUGGCACUUCUUGACAAUUCAGUGCUUCAAAGAUACCUUUAAACUUGCCAGAGAAAGUUCUGUUGGGCUCAGCCCAAGGAUAGAUGCCUUUAAAAGCCAAAUUCACUGCAAGUAAACAUUCUAAAACAUCCUUUUCUCCUAAUCCUGUAACUCAGAUUCCUUUUUCAUUUUUGCACUUUGCAACGUGAUUUAAUGGAAAAACGUCAUUACUGAACUAUUUCCCACUAUAUACUUCCUUGCAACAAAACUUUUACUACAUCAGCAAGUGUUAUAGAUAUUCACAGAAACUAUAUUCAGAAAUCAGAAAAAAACAGGAUGAUGUACUUUCAGUUUAAAGCAAAAAAAAAGUAUAUUCUUCUGAAUCUCCUUCAAAAUCUAUUGCCCUUCCUCAAUUCUAUGACUGUUAACUGCUACAAUUUUUAAGCCAACCCCAUUUUCAAAUAUGGUGAAGUGCGAACGUAUUAGUAAAUAGGAAGUUAAAAGAUGUUUUAAGGUCUCUGAAAUACGUAAGGGGAAAAGAGAGAGUGCUACAUAAACUAAAAUGAGAAUACUACCACAAAUCUCAAGUUCUUAUGAAGAUUAGCUGAGAGAAGAGUUGAAGCAUCAAGCCAGCCAUUUAAAUGUUAGACUCCUUACCCUUAACAUCAAUGCUAAAAUGAAAAACCAAUUGUUAACACCUGUAAUCCACCACGCUUUACAGUGACCAACCACAGUGUACUAACCACUUGUUUGUAUCUACCACAUGGCAGGGAGGGCUGGGAAUGGAGGACGGUACAUAUUAGGAACCCCCAAGAUAAGUAGGAGAGGCACCCAACAAAAAGGCGUAGGGUAAACAAAUAAUGGCAAGGAAAUAAGAGAAAGGAUAUUUUUUAUAAUUAAAAAAAAACACUUUAACAUUCUCUUAGUGCUAUAGCACCACAUGUAGCAAAUAAAAAGGCUACAGACCUGUUGUUUUUCCCCCCUGCAGAGCCAUGAAACUAUUAGCAAUAAACUGGAACAUAUAGUAUUCUUACUUUUUAUUCCAGAUUUUAAGGACAAGAGUAUUGUGGGGUGGAACCAAAUUUUAUAAUCUGACCCAAAUUAUCAGCUAUAAAUCCAUAAAAAAAUGGAAAAGAUUCCCAAGUCACUGCUCUAAUUUGUAUCAAGAAGCAGUUAAAAAAAAAAAGAAAAUCCAGUAUUGAAAAAGAAAAUCCUUUCCAAAAAAAAUGCUUGCUUUCAUGUAACUGUGUCACUGCUAUCUAGUCUAAUAUGGAGAGUUUAAUUCACAUAUUAUCUAACUUUAAGCCUCUUUGCUAAGUUUCCAGAACGUCAAUUCUAGGGAGGGAGGGAGAAAAGAGGGACGGUGGGAGGGAGGAGGAAACGAGUUUUCUCCUUUUGGAAAACAAAAUUGUAAAACAGCUUUUUAAAGUAUUGCCCUGUUCAGAAUAUCACUAUUAUACUACUGAAUGGAGUAUUAACACUUCCACAUGAAAAGUUCAUAAAAUUUAUAUAAAUUUAGUUAACAUCACAUUAAAAUAUUGUUAAAUAAGUCAUACAGGUAAGGAUAACUCUGGUUGUGUAGAUAUGUACUUGUUAAAUGCUUGUUUAAUGUUAGCAUUAAGGUCUAUUCCUACCGGAGUUUUAAAAGAUUUUAAAAUAUUUUAUCAAAACUUGUCUCCCUUCAGACUAGUGAACUCAACUAAACAGUGAAAACUGGACACCUGCUUGUUAAAAAUCUAGCCCUAUAUACGACACGUUAAGGAGCCCGUGGGAAAUGCUUCUCCAGCAUCUUCCCUCUGCAUGCACAACUCACCCUGCCUGUCUUUAUGUCGGAUGAUGAGAACGGGGGGGGGGAGUAAGAAUAGGAGAAAUUGCAGAAUAAUCUCGCCUCCCGAACAACCAUGCCCUUAGCUUAAGUCCCUAGUUGGCAGGUUACCUAGCCAACAAUAUCUCAAUUAUAAACUAACACUACUUGCAAGGUGACCACAGGUUAUCACCCCUGUAAGUGCUCUGCCUGCACUACCCCCGAUCACGGCCUGCCUCAUUAAGGACCCGGGAAAGGUCUGGGCGGUGAUGCCCGGCCUCCAGUUAAAAUCCCGCAGGCCCAGGAAAGAGAUGGGCGGGCCAGGCAUCGGCGGAACUGACCCGGAGAGACCUGCCGUAAGCCUCCGGGGGAGGGCCCAAGUGGGCCUUCCCUCCAGCCCCGCAGCCACUCAGUACUCUGCUGGAGACACCGGAACCUCCCUCCGCCCCGGGGCGGCCCUCUUCCAGCCCUCCGCCCACGGAAUCGGGGGAGGGGCGCCGGGGCAGAGAAACACCCCUCCCCCACGGCCACAGCUAGGCCGCCACUCGCCCCACCCUGAAAAGCACUGCGGGCCAGUGCCCACCCUCCCGCAGUGGCCUCGUUCCGGGUUGAGGGGAGCGUGGGUAGGAGGGGAGGCUAAAGUACAAUACCAACCUCGCUAUUGAAGGUUUUCACAGCCUCCAUGUUGUCGGUGCGGAGGCUCGGAGCCCGGCGGCGGAAGAGGCGGCGGCCACUGCACUGGGCUCCUGUUUCACCUCCCCGCCGCUCGGGCCGUAGGAACCAGCAGCGCACGGCGAAGACGGAGGAGGAAGCGCUGGCAGCAGCGGCUGCGGCAUCCAAUAUGGCGGACACGAGUCGGGCCGCGCAGCUCGGAGAUCCGCGGCGCCUGCCAGCGCGCCCCCUGGCGACGGGACCGCGCAGGCCCGGGCCGCCGCGCGGAACCAUCGAGCACGCGCGGGCCAGAGCGUCGCCGCCAGGAGGCCCCGCUCAUCUCGGCUCCCGGGGUCCCUGCCCCUCACCCGCACCCCACCUCCUCGCCGCUGCGGGAGCGAGUGCUGCUGCCUCUUGGAGCGCCCUUGGGGCCACUGCAAAGCAUUGCUCUAAGAAAAUCCCAAAUGUCCCUCCGGCAAGUUUAGGCAAUAUACACGUUUCCGUUGUUUCCAUGUGGCUUGGCCCCUUUACAUGAGGUUUAGUUGCUUUUCAGAACUUUACUGGACGUUGGCCUAAAGGUUAACAGCCGGAAGAGCUCCUAGUCAGCCACUUAUUUGGUAACGAUGUGCCCAAGCAUUUUAAUAGCGUCGGGAGAAAACGUUAGAAACAAAAGCUUUGGAUCCGGGCGGGGGCAGGGGGACGAGGGAAGCUCGCCUGCAGCGAGCAAGCAGCUCAGUGCAGGAAAUGCACGCUGCAUAAAAUCCGGGGGGGACCGGCGUGGUCUAGACAAUGAGUGCAUUUGUCUGUACAGCGGGAAGCCGUGCCCAGAACGCACAAGAUUUCCAUAGGCGAAAGAACCCAUCUUUUAUGAAAGAUGAAUUAUUCUAAAGGAAUUUUGACCUAGGUUUAGAGGCAGAGGAUGAAUACCGUUUUCCUAGAUGAAAUAGAUGCUGCUAGCAAAACGCCUUCUCUCUCACGUCGUGCAAUGUAAGAUAACCGAUACCAAAUUCAAAGCAAGCAUUUAAAUUAAAAGUUAGGGGUGUAUCACUGAACCCCAAACACCA